CUCAAACUCCACUACCCUCCAGCCUCUGGUGGUUUAGUAGGUUUGGGGUUGAACUGAGGGCCUACAGGACAGCUGAGGGCUGCUGUCACGUUUUAAGCAGAAACUGUGGUUAACUCGUUGUCUGAAUGACUUUAAUCAUGUCCGCCUUUUACCUGAGAAUCAUCCUCAAACAUGCAUCUCAUCUGGAACAUCAAAGAUUUGUACAGAAGGAGAGAUACUUCUGGUAAGCUCUUAGUUGGUGGUUUUGACUUGAGGAGAGAUACUUCUGGUAAGCUGUUAGUUGGUGGUUUUGACUUGAGGAGAGACACUUCUGGUAAGCUCUUAGUUGGUGGUUUUGACUUGAGGAGAGACACUUCUGGUAAGCUGUUGGUGGUUUUGACUUGAGGAGAGAUACUUCUGGUAAGCUGUUAGUUGGUGGUUUUGACUUGAGGAGAGAUACUUCUGGUAAGCUCUUAGUUGGUGGUUUUGACUUGAGGAGAGACACUUCUGGUAAGCUGUUAGUUGGUGGUUUUGACUUGAGGAGAGAUACUUCUGGUAAGCUGUUAGUUGGUGGUUUUGACUUGAGGAGAGAUACUUCUGGUAAGCUGUUAGUUGGUGGUUUUGACUUGAGGAGAGAUACUUCUGGUAAGCUCUUAGUUGGUGGUUUUGACUUGAGGAGAGAUACUUCUGGUAAGCUGUUAGUUGGUGGUUUUGACUUGAGGAGAGACACUUCUGGUAAGCUCUUAGUUGGUGGUUUUGACUUGAGGAGAGACACUUCUGGUAAGCUGUUAGUUGGUGGUUUUGACUUGAGGAGAGAUACUUCUGGUAAGCUGUUAGUUGGUGGUUUUGACUUGAGGAGAGAUACUUCUGGUAAGCUGUUAGUUAGUGGUUUUGACUUGAGGAGAGAUACUUCUGGUAAGCUGUUAGUUGGUGGUUUUGACUUGAGGAGAGAUACUUCUGGUAAGCUGUUAGUUGGUGGUUUUGACUUGAGGAGAGAUACUUCUGGUAAGCUCUUAGUUGGUGGUUUUGACUUGAGGAGAGACACUUCUGGUAAGCUCUUAGUUGGUGGUUUUGACUUGAGGAGAGACACUUCUGGUAAGCUGUUAGUUGGUGGUUUUGACUUGAGGAGAGACACUUCUGGUAAGCUGUUAGUUGGUGGUUUUGACUUGAGGAGAGAUACUUCUGGUAAGCUGUUAGUUGGUGGUUUUGACUUGAGGAGAGAUACUUCUGGUAAGCUGUUAGUUGGUGGUUUUGACUUGACUAAGUCCAUCUGCUGGUUAUGGGUUGGUGUGGGUGUUGUGAAGUGAGUGGUGUGUUGAAUCAUGUUGUUGCUGAGGGAAUGACACAACCACUUCACACUUCCUGUUUCUCCUCCCCGUUGUAACAGUGACUUCCUUUCCCAUACUGUAUCAUGUACGUGCGCACACAAAGUGCAUGAACGUCAUACACACACAGUUGAGGAAGUGAGACAAAAAUUAUCAUAGUUAGGCCUACACAUACCACUUUUUUAAUUCUACGACUCCUUGUCCAGAACAUUUAUUUUAUUUUUUUGCGUGAUGGUUUUGGUUGUGUGUGUGUUUGUUUUUAGCACAGAGAUCUCAGAUAGCCAUGUGUUUUACGCCUGCUGGUACCUACUGUGUGUCUCUUGAUCGUCUCUUAAUUAGUAGUCUGCCC
rnacentral:lncRNA from 1 species